rnacentral:lncRNA from 1 species
AAAAAUUUUUUAAAAAAUGUCAUAUCAGUAGUAUUGACGCUGAAAUUUUAGUAGUUAUCUACGCCUUAAAUGCUUUGUAAAUUACAUAUCAUUAAUAAACAAAAAAUAAUAAUUAGAACAGAUUGUAAUGCAAUAGUAAAAAUUUAGGAUAAAAGAAAUAAAAAGGUAAGUUCUAUGAAAAGAUGAACAUUUAAAGUUCAUAUUUAAACUCAGUAUUAAAAUUAUAUUCAAAAAGCAAACUCAAAUUUUUAAUUUGAAUUUCAACUUAAAAAUUUAAAGUUUGAAUUAUCAAUUUGAAUUCAAAGUUCAAGUUGAAGUUCUUAGCUAAUAAUAAUUUAAUUAAAAUUAAAUGUUAAAAAUUUAACUUUAACUUUAAAUUUAAAUUUAAAUUUAAAAAAUUAGAUUUAAAUAUAAAUUCGUAAAUUUUAGUUUAAAGAAUUUAUAUUGAUUUUUAAGUUAUAAAUAAAAUUCAGAAAGUGAAAUUAAAUUCAUAAUUUUAAUUCAAAUUUAAAAUAAAAUUGUCGGUGACUUUAAAUAUUACUUUAUCAAUCUAAUUUUGUAAAAAUAACUUUCAUAUUUAAUUUUAUAAAGUAAACAACUGGUAUAAUAUCUAUUUUUCAAAAGGGGUAAUUGUUUAUAUAUCCUUGAAAAGUUUCCAACUUUCUAACUUACCCCUCUUAGAAGGCUAAUAUUUUACAUUCCAACUUAUUUCAAAUAUACUCAUAGAGUUAAAUUCUAUUAAUAAGCUGUUAGCCUGUUAUCUGUAUAAAAUUACUAUUUUGCCCUUUCAAAUAUAUUAUUCUACUAUCGCUGACUUUUCUUAUUUGCCCUUAAGUUAGGAGCACAAAAAAUAUUUUAAUUUUCGAUCUUUUCAAAUAUACCCUUCUAUCAUCACCAAUAUUUCUUAUUUGCCCUUAAGUUAAGGACAAAAGAGGUAUUUUAAUUUUAAUUUUUUUUAAACUCUAGUAGAUGUUUAACUCAUAUUUAACCUAAGUUAACUUAACUGGUGAUAACUGUAGGGAUAUUUUGGAAUAACGGAGGAACAUAUGAGAGGUAUAUUAGAAAGAAAAAAAAAUAGGGAUAAAUAAGAUAUUUUGAAAUUUUCAGAAGUACAUAGGCAAUUAUCCCUUUUAAAAAUAUUAAUAUUAUGUUGCAUUUUCGGUCAACUAAAUAUACGGUCAAUGCAACUUUAGGAGCAUUCAGUUUGUGCUAUCUAUACAUUGGUAGAACCUUUUUAGGAGGAAACUUUUUCCCUCCCAGUGUUAUUAUUAUUAUUAUUAUUAUUAUUCCUCUCGUUCUCUCUCUCCUCCCUAUUCCAUCAGGUAAUUUCUUCCCUCUCUCCUACCUUCUCUUUCUCUUCCUUUCUUUUCUCUCUUUUCCUCUCUCGCCCGCUCUUUCUCUUUGUGGCAGAUCUGU